rnacentral:lncRNA from 1 species
AGAUGUGUUCGGCAGAUUUCUCCAGAAUCAUAGAGCUCUCACGUCUCUUCAAGCUCCAACGAGAAAGAUGUGUCCACCUGCGUAUAGCUGUAGGCUUCAUUUGGGUAAUACAAAGACCCACAUACAGCUGUUCAAGCUACAUAAAUUGUAUCUUACAUAAGACAGCUUACAAUAUGAAGCAGGAGACCACAGAGAAAAGGGGUCUAAUAUGAAUUUCUUAUUAAAAAAAUCCUUAUAUAGGGAGAAUUAAACUUAAAUUUAGUACAGAAUAUCAUACAAAUAAACACAACUUCUGAGUGAAGAAUCCAAAUAUACUCGAAUUGUUACAACAAUAUGUAAAUCCGCCAUGCAAACAAUUUGUUUAGGCUGGACUGCUGUAGUUGGUUGCAGAUUUGUGGUGAUGUGUCAAUACAAUCUCUAUAUCUACCAAAGUUACUUGUAUGGAUUCAAGAUAAUCCUUGUAUGUAUUGAAAUUUGUGAUGUGUCAAUGAUUAUAUAUGGUUCAGCUGUAUGUAAAUUAUCGAUUGUACCUUUGGUCUUUCGUCUGUAGCUCCAUGAUCGAUUCGCGACGGUAGAAUUGUUGUGCCAUGUAGUCGGAUCGGACGAGAGGUGCAGACAAAGGAGCACACCAGCACACAGGGG